rnacentral:snoRNA from 1 species
UUCUUCUCGUGAGCACCGCUCUGUCCAUCAAUGGCAGUAUACGGAUUCGCAUGAGAAGUAGAUGAAAGUCGCAGUUAAACAGGCAGCUACCUUUAGUGGGAGUUGCCCAUGUCUGAUGUGAGACAGUA